rnacentral:rRNA from 1 species
UGCGCAGGCGGUUUUGUAAGACAGGCGUGAAAUCCCCGGGCUUAACCUGGGAACUGCGUUUGUGACUGCAAGGCUAGAGUGUGGCAGAGGGGGGUAGAAUUCCACGUGUAGCAGUGAAAUGCGUAGAGAUGUGGAGGAAUACCGAUGGCGAAGGCAGCCCCCUGGGUCAACACUGACGCUCAUGCACGAAAGCGUGGGGAGCAAACAGGAUUAGAUACCCUGGUAGUCCACGCCCUAAACGAUGUCACUAGGUGUUGGGGGAGGAGACUUCCUUAGUACCGCAGCUAACGCGUGAAGUUGACCGCCUGGGGAGUACGGCCGCAAGGUUGAA